GAGGUCGCUUCUUUACGGUUCUGUCCCCUAGGCCCCUUCCUUCCAUAAGCCUACUCAGGACUCCACUGGGUUACUGACUACUCACCCUCCCCUCAGGUCAUCUCCUGACCCGUACACAGUUAUGUCCACCCAGGCUCUGCUUGGACACCUGUGCCUGAUGUUCACCAGGGGCCAGAUGUCGUCCUCAGGCCUGAUGUCCACCUGGGGCCUGAUGUCUGCCUUGGCCUAUGUCCCUCUUGGGGCCUUGUGUUCACCUGGGGACUGUAUCCAGCUGGGGCCUGAUGGCCUACUGGGUCUUGUUGUUCACCUAAGGCCUUGUGUCCACCUGGGGACUGGUGAUCACCUGGGGCCUGGGUGUCCACCUGAGGCCGGAGGUGCACCUAAGGCCUGAGUUUUCACCUGGGCCUGAUGAUCACCUGGGGACUGGGUGUGUGCCUUGGGUCUUUUCCCUUUUCCUGAACAGGGCUUGCAGUUUCCAAACCAGACACAAUCUCCCAGUUGGAGAAAGAAAAAGGAUCCUAGAUGAUAGUGAGACAAAUUUCAGGAAACUCCAUCCAAAUAAGUAAAUGAGAAUGAGGACAGGAUUCAUUGCAUGGUGGCAUGUGCCUGCAGUCCCAGCUACUCAGGAGGCUGAGGUGGGAGGAUCGCUUGAACUCAGGAGUUGAAGGCUGCAGUGGGUGAGGAUCACAACACUGAAUUCCAGCUGAGGUGACAGAAUGAGACCCUGUCUCUCUAAAAAACAAGCAAGCAAACAAACCAAAAACCACAAACAAACCAGACCCCUCUUAGCAGAAUACUUCCAUGAGGUAAUAAAAGAAAGAAGAAAGUGAAACGAACAAACAAUUUUACUCAAGAAACUAGUGAGAAAUCAAAGAAAUGUCCAAGAAGUAGGAUACAAGAAUUAAUCAAAACAGAUUAACAGUGGAAUAAAUAAAUGAAUCCAACUGGUUCUUUGUAAUGGAAUGUGGAAAGACAUACUCUAUUCUUCUGGAUAGGAAGAUGAAAUAUCAUAAUCAUAUCAAUGCAAGUUUUAUGCAUGCUCAAACAUGUAUAAACUAAGAAAAAAUCUGAAAGGACAGACAGCAAAAUGUUUGCAGUUUUUUUCCUCCAAGUGGUAAGAUUAAAGGGACUGGACUAAGUGACCUGGAUCAGAGGGAGGGCAAGAGAUCUGCUUCCUGCCUGAGCCCUGUGAACAGCUGAAAUCACUCGUGUGUCUGCAGGAAUCAUUCUUAUAUUUGCUAUUCUGAGGUAACGUCAAACCUACACAAAAUUUGCAAGAAGAAAAAACACCCUGCCACAUACUCUUACCUACAUUCACCCAUUGUUAACAUUUUGUCACAUUA
rnacentral:lncRNA from 1 species